rnacentral:piRNA from 1 species
UCAAGCUAUGGAGGCUUACCUCUGUGGUCAC